rnacentral:lncRNA from 1 species
GAAAGCGUGUUCUUCUAGUUUUCGUGAAAAUAAUGAUGAACAUCGUAAAGUGGUUGAUGUGACUCCUAUUGAAUCUUUGUUUUCUAAUAUAAAUCUUAAUAAAUAUGUGUGACGCCCCCGAUUCAAUCGUGCACUAAUCAUACACGCAAAUGUGUACGAUCAAGAUCAGGGACUCACGGGAAGAUAUCACAACACAACUCUAGACACAAAAAGAAAUAAUACAAGCUUCAUAUUACAAGCUAGGGGCCUCGAGGGCUCGAAAACAAGCUCGAUACACAAGAGUCAGCGGAAGCAACAAUAUCUGAGUACAUACAUAAGUUAAACAAGACUGCCUUAAGAAGGCUAGCAUAAAAGCAACACGAUCGAAGAGGCAAGGCCUCCUGCCUGGGACCUUCUAACUACUCCUGGUCUUCGGUGGCCUCCAUGUAGUAGCAUCCAUCGGCGGUGGCAUCUGGCUCUAGGGAUCCACCAUCUGGUUGCAUCAACCAGAAAUAAGAAAGAAGGGGGAAAAGGGGGUAGCAAAGCAACCAUGAGUACUCAUCCAAAGUACUCGCAAGCAUCAGAUAUAUACUAUGUAUGCAUUGGUAUCAAAUGAAAGGUUUGUAUCUGUGGACUGAACUGCAGAAUGCCAGAAUAAGGGGGAAGACCUAGCCUAUCGAAGACUAGCAACUUCACGCAGCUCCGAGCAUCUUGCAGCAUAUAGAAGAGUAAAGAAUAGCAGUUUAUAAUUAACAAGCAUGUUGUAACAUUAAUGCCCAGAGAUUCUUCCUCGACUCCCUGCGAGAAAGCAAUCUCGGAGCCACAUAUAUCAAGUAUCCAUUUGUAGUUGUAUAAGACCAGGAUAUAAGUCUGAACGUCCGUUACCGUGGACACGGCUAUUAAUAGAUAAUCUUCCCUGUAGGGGUGCACCACGUUACCCAACGCGCUCGAUCACUCUGGCCGGACACACCUUUUUGGGGUCAAUGCCCGCCCUCGGAAAAUCAACACGUCACAGCCCGACCUAGGCUCAGCAGAGAGGUCCCCGCCGGUCUACCUCCUAAGCACUCCGGGGUCUGGGCCCAUUGCCCGUUGCACUCCGGGUCGUUGCGCGCAGGGCGGGUCCAGGCUCCACCUCUACAUGGAUGGUGCCGGCCCAGCCGUGCCGCACUGCUGAACUGGACGUCUGACAAAGCUUCGACUGAUACCACGACGUCAAGGCCCAUAUCUAUUCUCGCGUGGUGGUUAGUGCAUAAAGUCCAGAGGCCAACUCAGAACAAAUACCCAAACCAUAAUGUAUUAUUAGCUUGCGGAGACGAGCAGAGACUCACGAUCAAAAGUGACCCCGUCGCCCCGUCUCACAGACUUACGACAAGGGCUCAGAAUGCCUGGCCGUGCCACGUCAUUAUCUUGCGUGUGCUCUCCGGGCCCGCCCGACUUUCACCAAGGUCUCAAGUAAGGUCAAGGUAACCGUGUGUCCAAACAUCAAUGGGAAAACCCGAGGAAUCACCCCCGGUGGAUUCCAUUCAAUGUAAUCAUCAAGGUGAACGUAAGAGGGAUCACCCUCGAGGUCCACACUUGAGGUGUUGAACGACAGAGCUGUAUCGGGAUGAUCAAAGGGGGGGGGGGGCUUGCCUGGUUGCUCAGACAAGAAGGAGGGUCAUCGGUGACGUAGUCGAUCACAGUGGCAUCAACAGCGGUCACGGGGUCUACCGAACAGAAGAGGGGGAAGAAACAGUAAAUACAUGCAAAUACAUGCACAACAUGAAUAUAAGCGGGGCUAGAGGUGUUCUAACGCAGUGCUAGGCGUUACUGGCAAAGGGGGAAAAUCCGGGAAAGUUUUCCCGGUUACGGACGUCUGUCAGACAAAUGAACCGGAGGGGAAAAGUUGCAUGUUUGCUAUGCUAGGGAUGUGUGGCGGGCGAACGGACCGCGUAUUCGGACUCGUCUCAUCGUUCUGAGCAACUUUCGUGUAGAAAACAUUUUCAUCCGAGUUACGGUUUAUUUUCUAUCAAUUUUCAAAGUUUUAACAAUAUUCUGAAAUUAUUUUAAUUCGAAAAUAAAAGCUAAAAUGCUAGGCGCACCCAGCACAUUGUACACAAAAGUGUGGACCAAGGGGGACCCAGUUGACUAGUCAAUGUUUGACUGGUCAACAGGGGUGGGACCCCCUGUCAUUGACUCACCUAACUAAUUACUUGAUUAAUUAGGCUAACUAAUUAGUUAGUUUAACUAAACCAUUUUAAUUAAGUUAAUUAAUUAACUAAUUAAUUAGUUUAUUAUUAAUAUAUAUAUAUAUAUAUAUUCUUUUUUUAAGAAAAGGGGGGCGGUGGGGCCCUGCUGGUAGUGACCCAUCUGGCCACUGGAGAAGGCGAUUAACGGAGCAGGCGCGGGUGCUGGGGCGCCAGCCCGCUUGGGCACGCGCCCAGGGGAGACCGCCGGGAUGCGGGGCGCCGCCAGAAGCAGGGCAGCGGCCCCAUACGGGCGUGCGCUGGGGAAGGCAGCACGGGGAGGCAGCACGGGCCGGCGCUUGGCGGCGGCGCAGCCAGGCGGGGAACGACGCGGGAGAAGUGACGCGGGGCUGCGGCCGUGCGGUAGUGGGGACGACGGUGGUGGCGAGAGGGGACGGAGCUCGGGCGCGGCGCCGGCGCGGUCUCGCGCGGGCGAGGCAGGGGGUGAGGCCAGGGCGGCUCUAGACACGGCGGCGACGGAGCAGAACAACCACAAGCUCCGACGACCAUGGCAGGGACGAAAACAACAACUACGGCGACAAAUCAAGAACGGGGCGAGGGGGAAGCGGAGAAGAAGCUCACGGGGGCCUGUAGUCGUGCAAAAGCGAGCUCGGGGAUGCCGGAGAGGCUCGGGGUGGAGCGGAUCGAAGACGACCCGAGACAAAGACGAUGUGGGUGACGGAGAUGGGGACUCCCGGCUCCAAUCCGGUGGCGCAAAGGGUGAGGUAGACGACGGCGGUCCUCCAGGGCUCGUCGGCGUGGCGGGGGAGGGUCNNN